AACGCACAUUGCGCCCAUUAGUAUUCUAGUGGGCAUGCCUGUUCGAGCGUCAUUUCAACCCUUAAGCCUAGCUUAGUGUUGGGAAUCUACUGUACUGUAGUUCCUCAAAGACAGUGGCGGAGCGAUAGUUGUCCUCUGAGCGUAGUAAUACUUAUUCUCGCUUUUGUUAGGUGCUAUCUUCUCGCCAUAAAACCCCCAAUUUUUUAGUGGUUGACCUCGGAUCAGGUAGGAAUACCCGCUGAACUUAA
rnacentral:misc_RNA from 1 species